rnacentral:lncRNA from 1 species
UUUUUUUAACUUUCAUAUUCCUUGCCAGAUGAAAUAAUUUUGCUUUUAAACACAGAGGAUGGUCUUAAAGAUAUAACCAUACAGGGUUUCGAGAUAAAGUUGAAGACUUCAAAAUUAAUAAUAUCAAGAUUCCCUUUAUAUCAAUAACUUAACAUAUAUUGUUUGUUUUUAAAAGCCAGCGUCAAAUGGAUAUUCAUGUUCUAUUUGUAAAUCUACAGAGCAUGUUUUUGUGGUACAUGUAAAACAAAUGGUGAAGAAGAUCAUGGAACACCUGUAUUUUGGUGUUUUUUUGUUUUUUUCUCCUCAAAUGAACAAGAAAUUCAAACAGAGAGAACUUACGCAUCUAAAUGUAUAGAAAAACUAAGGAUUGACAAUUAGAACAAAAUUGUAGAGGAAGCUGGAAUUUGGUGUAAUAUUCUCAUAGCAAUUACACAUGGUAAAAAAGGAAACGAAAUCCCCAAAAAACAUAAUUGUAAUUGUUCACCAAAAGUCGGAAUAAGGAUAUUGCCUGGCCAAAAAAACAUGGGGUCUUGCAAGAACCAGUUCGAGGUUGCUUAUUCUCUUAUUUUGGGGGUACCUACAGAUGUUUUUACUGAACACUUUAUUUCUCUUAGGCGGGUC